GGAUAGAUACCCUAUUAUUUUAAAGGUAGUUAGAGAUUAGUAUAUUUUUGAAAAUUAAUAAUUUUUGGCGGUUAAGAUUUUAAUCUAGAGGAGCUUGUGAUGUUUUAAAUGGAUUUGACUCAAUAUAUUUUGCUAAUUUUUAUGUUUAUUCAUCUCCGUUAUCAGAUUUAAAUUGAAAAAAAUAAAUUUUAGAAUUUCAGGUCAAGAUGUAGCUUGAAUUAGAAAUUGAUUAGCUACAUUAAUAUAAUUUGUUGGAGUUAGAAGUUUAAAAUAAAAAUGAAAUUGAAUUUAGUUGUAAUAUAAAUUAGGAAAUUUUUUAGUAAGUUUAUAAUUUAAUGUACAUAUCGCC
rnacentral:rRNA from 1 species